rnacentral:lncRNA from 1 species
AUGUCUGGAAAACUCACACGAAUGUGCUGGAUUACAAAUUCUAACAUUCACUACACAGUGAACAUCGGCUACUAUGCUUUAGUGUUCAUCUUCACGACAGGAAUCUUCAUCGUUAUCGUCACUAAGAUCGUUCAAGCCAGAAAAAUAAAAGCUGUUGACGGCAAGAGUAAGACAUUCAGAAAGCAGAUGAUGAUGGUGUUGAGUUUGUUCCUGCUCUUCGGUCUGACGUGGUCUGUGGCGUUCUUCAGUUAUGGACCGAUGAUCAUUCCCUCAUAUUACAUAUUCACUGUGCUCAACUCAUUACAGGGUGAGAAACAAUUAUUGGUUUAGUACAACACUUCUAUUUUUCCUACAGAUUUCAGCUAUUUAUUUUAAUGAAUUUAUUAAUUAUUUAAAUAUAUUAUUUUUUAUUAUUUUCAUUUUUAAUUAAUAUAAUUUAUUUUUUUACACACACACACACAUUAAUUUUUUUUAAAAAUAAUUCUAUUAUUUAAUUAUAAUUUGUUAUAAUGGUACCUAUUCUAAUAUGUUUCAUUUAACCAAAAUCUGAUUAUUUUUAAUUAAAGUUAAAAAAAUAUGCAAAUGACUUUAAUCAUAUCAGAAAUGUAUUUGGAUUAAUUGAAAUAAGUUUCUCUGAUCUAUUUUUUCAGGGUUUUCCUCUUCCUGUUGUCACGACACGCACAAACAGGUAGAUCCAAUUGCAGUAUGUUUAUUUAGGAUAAUCCAAAUCUCAUUAUCAGCCAGGCAAAGGUCACAAUCCAGGUAAGCAGUCCAGAAACAAGAAACAUAAACAACAUCCAAGAAACACAACAAACCAGGGUGACAUUCAACAGUCAUCCAGGCAGUCAUUAAAAA